ensembl:snRNA U4 U4 spliceosomal RNA
AGCUUUACACAGUGGCAGUAUCGUAGCCAAUGAGGUUUAUCGAGGUGCAAUUAUUGCUAAUUGAAAAAAUAAAAAAUAAAUUAAUUAAAAUUAAACACAAUAGCUGCUUCAAAGCAAAAUUUAGUUUCUAAAGUAAAAUUCAGUUAAUCCUGUCAUAGAUGUCCAGAGGC